rnacentral:rRNA from 1 species
UGGCUCAGGAUGAACGCUAGCGACAGGCCUAACACAUGCAAGUCGAGGGGCAGCACAAGGAGCAAUCUGAGGUGGCGACCGGCGCACGGGUGAGUAACACGUAUGCAACCUGCCUGUAAGCGGGGAAUAACCCGUUGAAAGACGGACUAAUACCGCAUAAUACUAAAUUACUGCAUGGUAAUUUAUUUAAACAUUUAUGGCUUACAGAUGGGCAUGCGCAUGAUUAGCUAGUUGGAGAGGUAACGGCUCCCCAAGGCAACGAUCAUUAGGGGUUCUGAGAGGAAGGUCCCCCCACACUGGUACUGAGACACGGACCAGACUCCUACGGGAGGCAGCAGUGAGGAAUAUUGGUCAAUGGACGAGAGUCUGAACCAGCCAAGUCGCGUGCAGGAAGAAUUGUCCUAUGGAUUGUAAACUGCUUUUGCAGGGGAAUAAAGUGCAUCACGUGUGAUGUUUUGUAUGUACUCUGCGAAUAAGGAUCGGCUAACUCCGUGCCAGCCGCGGC